rnacentral:rRNA from 1 species
AUGUUUCCCGGGGUGGAAAGGUUUUCCCGGUGCAGGAUGGGCCCGCGGCCUAUCAAGUNNGUUGGUGGGUAACGGGCCCACCAAGGNGACGACGGGUAGCCGGCCUGAGAGGGCGACCGGCCACACUGGGAAUGAGACACGGCCCAGACUCNUACGGGAGGCAGCAGUGGGGAAUAUUGCACAAUGGGCGCAAGCCUGAUGCAGCGACGCCGCGUGAGGGAUGACGGCCUUCGGGUUGUAAACCUCUUUCAGUACCGACGAAGCGCGAGUGACGGUAGGUACAGAAGAAGCACCGGCCAACUACGUGCCAGCAGCCGCGGUAAUACGUAGGGUGCGAGCGUUGUCCGGAAUUACUGGGCGUAAAGAGCUCGUAGGCGGUUUGUCGCGUCGUCUGUGAAAACCCGCAGCUCAACUGCGGGCUUGCAGGCGAUACGGGCNGACUUGAGUACUGCANGGGAGACUGGAAUUCCUGGUGUNUCGGUGAAAUGCGCACAUAUCNUGAGGAACACCGGUGGCGAANGCGGGUCUCUGGGCANUANCUCGACNCUGANGANCGAAAGCGUGGGUNNCNAACANGAUUAGAUACCCCU